AGCAGCCGCGGUAAUUCCAGCUCCAAUAGCGUAUAUUAAAGUUGUUGCAGUUAAAAAGCUCGUAGUUGAAUUUCGGGAUCAGUACGCUGGUCGUGCCUUCGGUAUGCACUGGUUUCACUGAUUCCUCCCUUCUGAAGAACCGUAAUGCCAUUCAGUUGGUGUGGCGGGGAAUCAGGAUUGUUACUUUGAAAAAAUUAGAGUGUUUAAAGCAGGCUCGCGCUUGAAUACAUUAGCAUGGAAUAAUGAAAUAGGACGUUUGAUCCUAUUUUGUUGGUUUCUAGGAUUGACGUAAUGAUUAAUAGGGAUAGUUGGGGGCAUUAGUAUUCAAUUGUCAGAGGUGAAAUUCUUGGAUUUAUUGAAGACUAACUACUGCGAAAGCAUUUGCCAAGGAUGUUUUCAUUAAUCAAGAACGAAAGUUAGGGGAUCGAAGACGAUCAGAUACCGUCGUAGUCUUAACCAUAAACUAUGCCGACUAGGGAUCGGAUGGAUGUUAAUUUUUAAUGACUCAUUC
rnacentral:rRNA from 1 species